rnacentral:rRNA from 1 species
UACGUAGGGCGCAAGCGUUGUCCGGAAUUAUUGGGCGUAAAGAGCUCGUAGGCGGCUUGUCACGUCGGGUGUGAAAGCCCGGGGCUUAACCCCGGGUCUGCAUUCGAUACGGGCAGGCUAGAGUGUGGUAGGGGAGAUCGGAAUUCCUGGUGUAGCGGUGAAAUGCGCAGAUAUCAGGAGGAACACCGGUGGCGAAGGCGGAUCUCUGGGCCUGUCCUGACGCUGAGGCGCGAAAGCUAGGGGAGCGAACAGG